rnacentral:tRNA from 1 species
GCUGGCGUGGCUCAACGGCAGAGCAGCGGUUUUGUAAACCGCAGGUUCUCGGUUCGAAUCCGAGCGCCAGCU